GAUGAACGCUGGCGGCGUGCCUAAUACAUGCAAGUCGAGCGAACAGAUAAGGGGCUUGCUCCUUUGACGUUAGCGGCGGACGGGUGAGUUACACGUGGAUAACCUACCUAUAAGACUGGGAUAACUUCGGGAAACCGGAGCUAAUACCGGAUAACAUAUUGAACCGCAUGGUUCAAUAGUGAAAGGCGGCUUUGCUGUCACUUAUAGAUGGAUCCGCGCCGUAUUAGCUAGUUGGUAAGGUAACGGCUUACCAAGGCAACGAUACGUAGCCGACCUGAGAGGGUGAUCGGCCACACUGGAACUGAGACACGGUCCAGACUCCUACGGGAGGCAGCAGUAGGGAAUCUUCCGCAAUGGGCGAAAGCCUGACGGAGCAACGCCGCGUGAGUGAUGAAGGUCUUCGGAUCGUAAAACUCUGUUAUCAGGGAAGAACAAAUGUGUAAGUAACUGUGCACAUCUUGACGGUACCUGAUCAGAAAGCCACGGCUAACUACGUG
rnacentral:rRNA from 1 species